AUACUUACCUGGCAGAGGAGAUUCCAUCAUCAGGAAGGUGGUAUCUCUAAGGCAAGGCUCCCCCAUCGCACUCCAGGCGUGCUGACUCCUGCGAUUUCCCCAAAUGUGGGAAACUUGACUGCACAAUUUGCGAUAACGGGGACUUUUUGCGCGCUGUCCCCU